GAUGAACGCUGGCGGCGUGCCUAAUACAUGCAAGUCGAGCGAACAGACGAGGAGCUUGCUCCUCUGACGUUAGCGGCGGACGGGUGAGUAACACGUGGAUAACCUACCUAUAAGACUGGGAUAACUUCGGGAAACCGGAGCUAAUACCGGAUAAUAUAUUGAACCGCAUGGUUCAAUAGUGAAAGACGGUUUUGCUGUCACUUAUAGAUGGAUCCGCGCCGCAUUAGCUAGUUGGUAAGGUAACGGCUUACCAAGGCAACGAUGCGUAGCCGACCUGAGAGGGUGAUCGGCCACACUGGAACUGAGACACGGUCCAGACUCCGACGGGAGGCAGCAGUAGGGAAUCUUCCGCAAUGGGCGAAAGCUUGACGGAGCAACGCCGCGUGAGUGAUGAAGGUCUUCGGAUCGUAAAACUCUGUUAUUAGGGAAGAACAAAUGUGUAAGUAACUAUGCACGUCUUGACGGUACCUAAUCAGAAAGCCACGGCUAACUACG
rnacentral:rRNA from 1 species